rnacentral:rRNA from 1 species
GUCUAUGCCACCUUGAAAAAUCCCGAUCCUGUCUGGUCUUGGAAGCUAAGCAGGGUCAGGCCUGGUUAGUACUUGGAUGGGAGACCACCUAGGAAGACCAGGUGUUAUAGGCA